rnacentral:rRNA from 1 species
UGAAUACGAGAUGCUACGGCGUCGAAGCAGUCUAUGUCAUACUUCCAAGAAAAGCUUGCACUGUCAUAAACAAAUAAUGCCUGUACCAUAACCGACACAGGUGGGUAGGUAGAGUAUACUAAGAGGCGCGAGAUAACUCUCUCUAAGGAACUCGGCAAAAUGACUCCGUAACUUCGGGAGAAGGAGUGCCUUAUUUAUAAGGUUGCAAUAACAAGAUCCAAGCAACUGUUUACCAAAAACACAGGUCUCCGCUAAGUCGUAAGACGAUGUAUGGGGGCUGACGCCUGCCCAGUGCCAGAAGGUUAAAGAAGUUGGUUAGCAUCCGCGAAGCUGAUAACUGAAGCCCUGGUGAACGGCGGCCGUAACGAUAACGGUCCUAAGGUAGCGAAAUUCCUUGUCGGGUAAGUUCCGACCCGCACGAAAGGCGUAAUGAUUUGGAUACUGUCUCGGAGAGGGGCUCGGUGAAAUAGACUUGUCUGUGAAGAUGCGGACUACCUGCACCAGGACAGAAAGACCCUAUGAAGCUUUACUGUAACCUGAAAUUGAAAUUGGACUUUACUUGCGCAGUAUAGGUGGGAGGCGUUGAGAAUAUUCUUGCGGGAUUAUUGGAGCCAUCAGUGAGAUACCACUCUUGUAAUGUUAGAUUUCUAACUUUGUAUCAUUAUCUGGUCAAAGAACAGUUUCAGGCGGGCAGUUUGACUGGGGCGGUCGCCUCCUAAACGGUAACGGAGGCGCACAAAGGUUUCCUCUGAACGGGUAGAAAUCGUAUCUAGAGUGUAAAGGCAUAAGGAAGCUUGACUGUGAGACCUACAAGUCGAGCAGGGACGAAAGUCGGUCUUAGUGAUCUGACGGUGCUGAGUGGAAAGGCCGUCACUCAACGGAUAAAAGUUACUCUAGGAUAACAGGCUGAUCUCCCCCAAGAGUUCACAUCGACGGGGAGGUUUGGCACCUCGAUGUCGGCUCAUCGCAUCCUGGGGCGGUAGUACGUCCCAAGGGUUGGGCUGUUCGCCCAUGAAAGCGGUACGCGAGCUGGGUUCAGAACGUCGUGAGACAGUUCGGUCCAUAUCCGGUGUAGGCGUUAGAAUAUUGAGAGGAGCCUUCUUUAGUACGAGAGGACCGAGAAGGACAUACCUCUGGUGUACCAGUUAUCGUGCCAACGGUAAACGCUGGGUAGCUAUGUGUGGAGUGGAUAACCGCUGAAAGCAUCUAAGUGGGAAGCCCACCUCAAGAUAAGUAUUCUC